rnacentral:rRNA from 1 species
AGAGUUUGAUCAUGGCUCAGGACGAACGCUGGCGGCGUGCUUAACACAUGCAAGUCGAACGGAAAGGCCCUUCGGGGUACUCGAGUGGCGAACGGGUGAGUAACACGUGGGUGAUCUGCCCUGCACUUUGGGAUAAGCCUGGGAAACUGGGUCUAAUACCGAAUAGGACCACGCGCUUCAUGGUGUGUGGUGGAAAGCUUUUGCGGUGUGGGAUGGGCCCGCGGCCUAUCAGCUUGUUGGUGGGGUAAUGGCCUACCAAGGCGACGACGGGUAGCCGGCCUGAGAGGGUGUCCGGCCACACUGGGACUGAGAUACGGCCCAGACUCCUACGGGAGGCAGCAGUGGGGAAUAUUGCACAAUGGGCGCAAGCCUGAUGCAGCGACGCCGCGUGGGGGAUGACGGCCUUCGGGUUGUAAACCUCUUUCAGUAUCGGCGAAGCUCCAGGAUUUUUCUUGGGGUGACGGUAGGUACAGAAGAAGCACCGGCCAACUACGUGCCAGCAGCCGCGGUAAUACGUAGGGUGCGAGCGUUGUCCGGAAUUACUGGGCGUAAAGAGCUCGUAGGUGGUUUGUCACGUUGUCCGUGAAAACUCACAGCUUAACUGUGGGCGUGCGGGCGAUACGGGCAGACUGGAGUACUGUAGGGGAGACUGGAAUUCCUGGUGUAGCGGUGGAAUGCGCAGAUAUCAGGAGGAACACCGGUGGCGAAGGCGGGUCUCUGGGCAGUAACUGACGCUGAGGAGCGAAAGCGUGGGGAGCGAACAGGAUUAGAUACCCUGGUAGUCC